ACAAACUCAAUGAAAAAGAGAGUAGUUUAAAUGAGUAUGAAGCGAGCUAACGUUGGUGUGAGGUUAGUAUACAAGUUUAAAUGAACCGCACUUUGGAGAGCAAUAUCUGAAAUCAGUAGGAUAUUGAGUAGGUCUGCUUUAAAGACAAGAGGGGAUAUAUCUUUGGAUAUAUCAACAAGAGUGGUACCGCGGAAUCUUUCGUCUCUUAG
rnacentral:ncRNA from 1 species